GUCACUUUGCCGGAGUGGUUAACGGGAUCGCCUGCUAUUCCAGUAGCUAAGCGGUUGGUCUUUGACCGCGAGUGUUCGAAUCGCUCAGGUGACG